GACGAACGCUGGCGGCGUGCUUAACACAUGCAAGUCGAACGGAAAGGCCCUGCUUUUGUGGUGUGCUCGAGUGGCGAACGGGUGAGUAACACGUGAGUAACCUGCCCUUGACUUUGGGAUAACUUCAGGAAACUGGGGCUAAUACCGGAUAGGAGCUCCUGCUGCAUGGUGGGGGUUGGAAAGUUUCGGCGGUUGGGGAUGGACUCGCGGCUUAUCAGCUUGUUGGUGGGGUAGUGGCUUACCAAGGCUUUGACGGGUAGCCGGCCUGAGAGGGUGACCGGCCACAUUGGGACUGAGAUACGGCCCAGACUCCUACGGGGGGCAGCAGUGGGGAAUAUUACACAAUGGGCGGGAGCCUGAUGCAGCAACGCCGCGUGCGGGAUGACGGCCUUCGGGUUGUAAACCGCUUUCGCCUGUGACGAAGCGUGAGUGACGGUAAUGGGUAAAGAAGCACCGGCUAACUACGUG
rnacentral:rRNA from 1 species